GCUUCUGGGAGGAGGGGAUCUUGGGAGUGAUCCCACCACCGGAACUCACUGGAGUCCCUGUCCC
rnacentral:miRNA from 1 species